CCUACGUGAGGCAGCAGUGAGGAAUAUUGGUCAAUGGACGGAAGUCUGAACCAGCCAUGCCGCGUGCAGGAAGACGGCUCUAUGAGUUGUAAACUGCUUUUGUACAAGGGUAAACCUGAAUACGUGUAUUUAUCUGAAAGUACCGUACGAAUAAGGAUCGGCUAACUCCGUGCCAGCAGCCGCGGUAAUACGGAGGAUCCAAGCGUUAUCCGGAUUUAUUGGGUUUAAAGGGUGCGUAGGCGGAUUGAUAAGUUAGAGGUGAAAUGUCCGAGCUUAACUCGGGAACUGCCUCUAAUACUGUUCGUCUAGAGAGUAGAUGCGGUAGGCGGAAUGUAUGGUGUAGCGGUGAAAUGCUUAGAGAUCAUACAGAACACCGAUUGCGAAGGCAGCUUACCAAUCUAUAUCUGACGUUGAGGCACGAAAGCGUGGGGAGCAAACAGGAUUAGAUACCCUAGUAGUC
rnacentral:rRNA from 1 species